rnacentral:rRNA from 1 species
AUUGAACGCUGGCGGCAGGCCUAACACAUGCAAGUCGAGCGGAGCGGCGGACGGGUGAGUAAUGUCUGGGAAACUGCCUGAUGGAGGGGGAUAACGUCCGGAAACGGGCGCUAAUACCGCAUACUAUCAGAUGAGCCUAGGUCGGAUUAGCUAGUUGGUGGGGUAAAGGCCUACCAAGGCGACGAUCCGUAACUGGUCUGAGAGGAUGAUCAGUCACACUGGAACUGAGAAACGGUCCAGACUCCGACGGGAGGCAGCAGUGGUGAAUAUUGGACAAUUGGCGAAAGCCGGAUCCAGCCAUGCCGCGUGUGUGAAGAAGGUCUUCGGAUUGUAAAGUACUUUAAGUUGGGAGGCGUUACCAACAGAAUAAGCGCCGGCUAACUUCGUGCCAGCAGCCGCGGUAAUAC